GCUCCUUUGCAACUCGAGGAAAGUUAGAGGAGGAACUAUGAAACCCGAGGGGGAGGUGCUAGCCAGGCUGUCUUCAGCUCCUGAGCCAUAAAACAUUCCACUUGACUACAGUUCAGACUACAGAAAACAAGUGCAGCAGACACGUCUGUAAUGUCAAGCCGUGUGACAGAUGGCAGUGGAUCAGAUUCCAACAGCAAGCUAGACAGAUUCAUAGAAUGGCUGAUGCAGAAGCUCAGUUACAUCAGCGUGACAACCGGCCAUGAUGAGUACAUGAAGGAGAUUGGAGAGAGGCAGCAGAGGAACGAGGAUUUGAACCGCGAGAGAUUAGUGCAAUGUGAACCAGCCAUGGCAGACGCUUAAAAUAAUAUUAUUCUUUCCUACAGUUUAUACUGUAGUGUAUGUAGUAUAUUUUUGCUACUCUAUAUAGUGUUUCUCAUGCUUGGCCUCCUAUAGCAAAAGAAAAUUAGAAAGUGGGGAGUGAUUGGGGAGAUGGGGGCGGGCUGGGGAAGUGAUUUAGAAAGUGAUCCGAGCGCAUCUGAAAACAAAAAAAUCUUUAAAAUUGACUGAGCCAAACCUGGAAAGCCACACAAAACAGGAAGGGAAGGAAAAGAACAGACAAAAUAAAUAAGAAACAAGGGGGAAAAGAGAAACAGCAGCAUAAGGAAAAGAAAAUGAAUGAGAGACAGAGAAAGGGACUUUUUAAAGAGACCGAGGGGAAAGGGGAGGCCCAAAAGAGACAUUCAGAGUCACUUGGGGGUAUAGCACAGGGCGACAAGGAGCUGGAUAAUCGGGUGUCUGGACAGAGGGCAGGAGAUGAAGACAAUGGUGAAGGAAACACUAGGGCAGUAAUCACAGGGGAAAGGACACAAGCUGUGGGGACGGGGACAGUAUUCAUGGAGCGGGACACAUGGGCAGUAAUUUUAAAGCAGAAAGAAGCUAAUUAGGGUGACCAGAUGUCCCGAUUUUAUAGGGACAGUCCCAAUUUUGGGUCUUUUUCGUAUAUAGGCUCCUAUUACCCCCCACCUCCUGUCCCGAUUUUUCACAUUUGCUGUCUGGUCACCCUAAAGCUAAUGGAGGCAAUUCUCAUUUUACUUUGCCUUCCCAAUUAUAUAUAGUCACUGAGAAGAAACAGCUGCAGGAUCAUAAGUGUUUAUGGCAAAAAAAGUAACUAGGCAGAGCAGGCAGUGGUGGGUGUAGCUACAGUUGCUUGACACUUCUCACUAUGACACCUAGUUAAAGACUGCACCGUGAUGCACACACACAAGAGGCGGGCAAUUAAAGCUGCAGAGCAAGCUGAAGUCUGCCAUUUCCUAAUGUUUGAGUGCUCGAUAUGGAGCCAAAUGGCUUUGUGAAUGUAACGUGGGACAUAUACUAAAUCACUCCAAUGAGUUACAUAAAUAUUGUAAAGAACAUUAAAUGGGCAUCUUCUUUAUUGCAUCCCUAUGGCUGCCCCAACUACCCAGGCUGUGAACUGGAGGAAGCUCCAGCCUUCUGCUUUGGGAAGCAAUUUAACAGUGGUCUCAGGAAGGGCGUCCCACUGACCGAUCUCCAUGGCCAUGGCGGGCACUAGUGGAACUGUGCAUCCAGUUGGAGCCACUUUACAUCUUAGUCAGCCAUGGUCUGAUUGAAGCUUUCCCUGGCCAUUAUUUGGCAUGCACCACCGACCACUCAUGACUUAGGGACACAUAGCCCCGCGUGGAGCCGGGGAACUAAGCAAAUGUGGCCUAGAAGCAAUAUAGCAAAUAAAGCACUCGAAAGGCCUCAGAAGGCUUUGGUGAUGUGCACU